rnacentral:rRNA from 1 species
AUUGAACGCUGGCGGCAGGCUUAACACAUGCAAGUCGAGCGGAGAGAGGUAGCUUGCUACUGAUCUUAGCGGCGGACGGGUGAGUAAUGCUUAGGAAUCUGCCUAUUAGUGGGGGACAACAUUUCGAAAGGAAUGCUAAUACCGCAUACGUCCUACGGGAGAAAGCAGGGGAUCUUCGGACCUUGCGCUAAUAGAUGAGCCUAAGUCGGAUUAGCUAGUUGGUGAGGUAAUGGCUCACCAAGGCUACGAUCCGUAACUGGUCUGAGAGGAUGAUCAGUCACACUGGAACUGAGACACGGUCCAGACUCCUACGGGAGGCAGCAGUGGGGAAUAUUGGACAAUGGGCGAAAGCCUGAUCCAGCCAUGCCGCGUGUGUGAAGAAGGUCUUCGGAUUGUAAAGCACUUUAAGUUGGGAGGAAGGGCAGUAAGUUAAUACCUUGCUGUUUUGACGUUACCGACAGAAUAAGCACCGGCUAACUUCGUGCCAGCCGCCGCCGUAACAC